GACGAACGCUGGCGGCGUGCUUAACACAUGCAAGUCGAGCGGUAAGGCCCUUUCGGGGGUACGACGAGCGGCGAACGGGUGAGUAACACGUGGGUGACCUGCCCUCCAGCUCUGGGAGUAAGCCUGGGAAACCGGGUCUAAUACUGGAUAUGACUCCAUGACGCAUGUUGUGGGGUGGAAAGCCUUGUGCGGCUGAGGAUGGGCCCGCGGCCUAUCAGCUUGUUGGUGGGGUGAUGGCCUACCAAGGCGACGACGGGUAGCCGGCCUGAGAGGGCGACCGGCCACACUGGGACUGAGACACGGCCCAGACUCCUACGGGAGGGCGAGCAGUGGGGAAGUCUUGCGCAAUGGGCGAAAGCCCGACGCAGCGACGCCGCGUGA
rnacentral:rRNA from 1 species